CCUGUUCGAGCGCCAUUAUGACCACUCAAGCCUAGCUUGGUAUUGGGGUUCGCGGUCUCGCGGCCCUUAAAAUCAGUGGCGGUGCCGUCUGGCUCUAAGCGUAGUAAUUUGUCUCGCUAUUGGGUCCGGUGGUUGCUUGCCAAUAACCCCCAACUUCUAAGGUUGACCUCGGAUCAGGUAGGGAUACCCGCUGAACUUAG
rnacentral:misc_RNA from 1 species